rnacentral:rRNA from 1 species
CCUACGGGAGGCAGCAGUGGGGAAUAUUGCACAAUGGGCGCAAGCCUGAUGCAGCGACGCCGCGUGAGGGAUGACGGCCUUCGGGUUGUAAACCUCUUUCAGUAGGGAAGAAGCGAAAGUGACGGUACCUGCAGAAGAAGCGCCGGCUAACUACGUGCCAGCAGCCGCGGUAAUACGUAGGGCGCAAGCGUUAUCCGGAAUUAUUGGGCGUAAAGAGCUCGUAGGCGGUUUGUCGCGUCUGCCGUGAAAGUCCGGGGCUCAACUCCGGAUCUGCGGUGGGUACGGGCAGACUAGAGUGAUGUAGGGGAGACUGGAAUUCCUGGUGUAGCGGUGAAAUGCGCAGAUAUCAGGAGGAACACCGAUGGCGAAGGCAGGUCUCUGGGCAUUAACUGACGCUGAGGAGCGAAAGCAUGGGGAGCGAACAGGAUUAGAUACCCUGGUAGUCCAUGCCGUAAACGUUGGGCACUAGGUGUGGGGGACAUUCCACGUUUUCCGCGCCGUAGCUAACGCAUUAAGUGCCCCGCCUGGGGAGUACGGCCGCAAGGCUAAAACUUAAAGGAAUUGACGG